UGUAAGCCUUACACUUCCUUUCUCAUGGCCGUGGUCUGCUGCACGUAGAUAAGGCAGUCUGCAAAAAUGAAACUGCCACUUAUCCACGGCCUCUCGCAACUCCAGCCACGGGAGUGAGAAACAGGCGCAGGCCUUUCGGCGCUGAACAGGAAGGUGGAAUUUGUCACAGCAGCAGGAAGCCAUCAGCUGACGAGCUAGUUUGCAGAGCAGUCUCCCCGCAUCCCUGCUGCCCCGUCUUUGAACGAGAGCCAUUCAGAAGGACAUUCAAGGGUUCAAGUGCCAAGUGCUCUGGAAAUAUGUGGUCAUCUGUUAUUGAAACAGAAAUUGCUGCUGAGCGACCCAAGCGUUUGGAACGAGGAUAUCAACGUGGGCUGCAUUAUGGGAGAGACCAAAGUGGAAAACAAAAGCAGCUAACUUGAUAAGGAUCUACCCUGUGGAAUUCCACUUAAAUGGAAUAGCAGUCUUCGUGGCGAUGAUUGAUAAAUGAAGUGUUGUAGAAAUUUUAGACAUUACUAUUUAAAAUAUUUGCCUGAGAUUUCUAAAACCCUGAGACAAAACUACUAUAAAUAUUUGUCUCUACAUUAUGCUCCUAGUAUCAAUCAAAAAGCCUACUCUAGAUUGUAGGUGUAAUUUAAAUGAAAUUGCAAUCCUGUAGAUUAUGUAUCAAGAAAUGGAAAUUCAGGGGUCUAAACUAAUUCAAAUUGAACUUCAAAUGUUUUAUACAUGUGAACAGUAGUAUGUGGUUCAUAUCUGAUGUAUCUACUGGAAAGAGUAAUCUAAGAAUGUAGGUAAAUAAUGCUUACAAAUGUAGGGCAAGAGUUAAAAAUUCCAAAACACCAAAUUAAACAAAAAAGGAAAACAAAAUUCCUUUCAGGAAAGCCUUACUAACCAAAUAUAAUCGAAUCAUCUAGAAUGACAAGAGUUUCAAUUUCUUACAUAACAGUUUGCACAGAGAUUAAAUUGAAGGAUUUUAUGCACUAAACUAACAGUAAUAAUAAUUACAGCACCAUUAAAAUUGUGAAAUUAAAAUAGAUGCUUCUUUGAAAAUAAUUCUUCAAUUUAAAUUAGAAUGUCAAUGGAGAAAUCUCAUUUUUAUGCUACCAUAACUUUGGGCUCUGGUUUGGCCUUUUUUAUACCAUUUUUAUUGGUGUAAUAAAUAAUAAUGAUAAUAAUGUUUCUUCAUCUCACCUAGUUCAUCUAGUUCAUUUUAUAUAUAUAUUUAUAGAAUGUUUCCACUAUUAACUGAGUUAAGUACAAAUCUGUCAAGGUGUACCCAAAAUCCUCAGAAUUUUUUUUAUCUGAAUUCUCUGGGAGAAUUGAUUCUGAGUUCUUCAGAAAUUUUCAGAAGUGCAGUAAACAUCAGAUGUAAUGAAUGCCAAGAAUACAAUCGCGAUCUAUGACCUGAUGUCCAAAUCUUUACACAUCACUGGAGUAGAAAUGGAUUUAGCAACUGUGCAAAAUUGUAUAUUCAAUAAUAACUUCAUUCUGAAUAAAUUGCUAAUCUGAAGCCCA